AUUGAACGCUGGCGGCAGGCCUAACACAUGCAAGUCGAACGGUAACAGAAAGCAGCUUGCUGCUUUGCUGACGAGUGGCGGACGGGUGAGUAAUGUCUGGGAAACUGCCUGAUGGAGGGGGAUAACUACUGGAAACGGUAGCUAAUACCGCAUAACGUCACAAGACCAAAGAGGGGGACCUUCGGGCCUCUUGCCAUCGGAUGUGCCCAGAUGGGAUUAGCUAGUAGGUGGGGUAAAGGCUCACCUAGGCGACGAUCCCUAGCUGGUCUGAGAGGAUGACCAGCCACACUGGAACUGAGACACGGUCCAGACUCCUACGGGAGGCAGCAGUGGGGAAUAUUGCACAAUGGGCGCAAGCCUGAUGCAGCCAUGCCGCGUGUAUGAAGAAGGCCUUCGGGUUGUAAAGUACUUUCAGCGGGGAGGAAGGGAGUAAAGUUAAUACCUUUGCUCAUUGACGUUACCCGCAGAAGAAGCACCGGCUAACUCCGUG
rnacentral:rRNA from 1 species